GUCAGGACAUGUCUAACUUGAGUUAGCCAAAACCUUAGAAACCCUAGAGAGGUCGUGGCCUCCUUUAGGGUGUCCCUAGAGAGGUCGCGGCUUCCUUUAGGGUGUCCCUAGAGAGGUCGCGACCUCCUUUAGGGAGCUGUUUUGGUCUCAGUGGCCUGUCUCCCAGAUUCGUGUCCACUUGAGACUUGAGACUGUGCUCUCCUUUGGGAAAAGGAUUGAUCCAGUGUACUCAAGUUGAGAUGAGGUCAUAUUGGAACAGAGUGGCCUAUUAAGACGAGAAGAGGAAGUGAUGUUAGCAGGUGGUUCACUAGACAUUCAUCGCGUGUCCUCUCCACAACAAAAGGCCAACACAAAGACAUAACAGCAACUAGUCCGUUGCAACAUCGGAGGUGAGCCACUAAGGAGUGAGUACCGUGGGGGCAUGCACCCGGAGGACAAGCACCUGGGAAUCGGGAAUCGAGCACCCGAGUGGCUAAGCCCAACAAAGGCCUGAAGCAGCCAGUGCAAAUACCCUGAACAUUCCCAACACAAACAAAGGAGAGACCUGUUGAGCCUGGAAAUCCAAUCGCUACAGUUGAGCAUCCUGCUAGAUUAGAUUGUGCGUGGACUCUGAACCACCAGCCCUGCAGCUCUAGGAAGCUGGAACUUGUGGGAGCAGCAGCAGAAGUUGGCCGAUUCGGAGCCUAGUGUGAGUGGGCUACACCCAUGGACUGACCAGCUUUUCUGCCCAGCUGCUUCGAAGUACUCACAAGAAUCCAUGCCUCGCCAGAGCCAUCAAGUUCAAGCUGCUCCGCCCUAGUCAACCAUGGAUGACAGUUGAUAGAUUAGUCGUGACUGUUCCCUCUUCCACACCUGUGUGUGGGUCACAGAUGUGUGUAAGCGAGCAGUCCUCAGAUCCUAUUGAAAUCCCAGUCCCAGUACCAAGUUACAUCAGCUGGGAUCCAAUCAGGAAAGGAGACUUACACAGACUAAUAAUGUUUAGUGUGGCUCACU